ensembl:lncRNA
GCGCUCAGGCUGUGAAGCAUUCCUGAUUGACACACAUUAUGUCAUCGGUGACUGCUUGUCACAAGAAUUGAAACGACGCAUACAAAAAUGUGGAGGAAAAAUUUGCUAAAAUCAAAUCAAUGGACAUUGAACAAAUCCGUGCAGCCACAGAAAAACUGAAGAAAAUAUACCCUCAGGAUCUUGAGGAGGACUUUACAGCAGAAUUUUGCCAGUUCAUCUCAAUGGUGAAAGAUGAAGAAUCAGUCAUGGCCUUGUACAAGAAGCUCCUAGAGCUAGGCUUGAGGGAUGCUUUCCCUAAUGGGGACAUUUGCCUUUGCAUGUAUCUGACAUUACCGAUGGCAAACUGUUCAGGAGAAAGAUAAUUUUCUACGUUUAAACGAGUGAAAACAUACCGGAGAGCAACAGUAACAGAAAAACAAUGGAAUGCCUUUGCCCUGUUGGCAAUUGAGAAUGGAUUUACAACCUCCCUGGAUUUUGAAGACAUUAAAGAGGACUUUGCCUCAUCAAUACUCAGGAGAAAGCAUCUGUAAAUAUCGUGAUGAUGCUGUCAAGGUGUGUUUCUACUGCAAUGGAGGCCUGUGGUGCUGGAAGGCUGAAGAUUAUCCAUGAGUGGAGCAUGCUAAAUGGUUUCCUCACACACCGUCCAGAGACACAUCUAGACCAGUGGCGAAAACUGCUGAACAGUCCAAACCAGGAGCUGAGCUGCUGAGUGUUGAAUACCAGAAAAUUGAAGAUAGUUGAUUCUUGUCCAUGAAAAUAAACAUCUUUACCACUACAGGACACUUUCUCUGACUGCAAAUUUUAUUGGUCUUUCUAUAUUUGACUACUUAUUUAACUAUUCAAUUUAAUCAACACAUUUAAUUAAGAUUUUCUGCAAAAUGCAAUUGCUUACAACAUUUAUCUUUUUUGCUCUGUUUACAUAGCAAUGCUGACACAGUGACACCUAUUGUUGAUGUACUGGGACUACUGCCUUAACAAUGACACUGGCAAUGGAUAAGAUAAGGAUAAUUUAAUAGCAUUUAAUAGAGCAAUGUAAUAAAGAAAAAAAAAUAGUCUGAUAGUAUACAACACAUGACUUAUUUUGGCGUACAAAUAACCAACUUGUAACCAAAGACUACGCUAUGUAAAAUGUGAAUUAACUUUUAUUAUUAACUUUGGUAAGUGUCAGGGUUAGAGAUAGGGUUAGUUAGGUUAUCGAUGGAGGCGGGCCCAAAAAAUACAGUCUGCCUAGUGUAGUCCAUUAAUCCGGCUCUGAUGGUAA